UACGUAGGGUGCAAGCGUUAAUCGGAAUUACUGGGCGUAAAGCGUGCGCAGGCGGCUUUGCAAGACAGAUGUGAAAUCCCCGGGCUCAACCUGGGAACUGCAUUUGUGACUGCAAGGCUAGAGUACGGCAGAGGGGGAUGGAAUUCCGCGUGUAGCAGUGAAAUGCGUAGAUAUGCGGAGGAACACCGAUGGCGAAGGCAGCCCCCUGGGUUAACACUGACGCUCAGGCACGAAAGCGUGGGGAGCAAACAGG
rnacentral:rRNA from 1 species